rnacentral:rRNA from 1 species
ACGAACGCUGGCGGCGUGCCUAAUACAUGCAAGUCGAGCGGAAUGAUGAAGAAGCUUGCUUCUUCUGAUUUUAGCGGCGGACGGGUGAGUAACACGUGGGCAACCUACCUUGUAGAUUGGGAUAACUCCGGGAAACCGGGGCUAAUACCGAAUAAUCCAUUUUGCUUCAUGGCGAGAUGUUAAAAGGCGGCUUCGGCUGUCACUACGAGAUGGGCCCGCGGCGCAUUAGCUAGUUGGUAGGGUAAUGGCCUACCAAGGCGACGAUGCGUAGCCGACCUGAGAGGGUGAUCGGCCACACUGGGACUGAGACACGGCCCAGACUCCUACGGGAGGCAGCAGUAGGGAAUCUUCCACAAUGGACGAAAGUCUGAUGGAGCAACGCCGCGUGAGUGAAGAAGGUUUUCGGAUCGUAAAACUCUGUUGUAAGGGAAGAACACGUACGAGAGUAACCUGCUCGUACCUUGACGGUACCUUAUUAGAAAGCCACGGCUAACUACGUG